rnacentral:rRNA from 1 species
ACGGGUGAGUAACACGUAGGCAAUCUACCUUUCCGUCCGGGAUAACUAGCCGAAAGGUUAGCUAAUACCUGAUGCGAUCACCGAGCGGCAUCGCUUGGUGAUGAAAGCAGCAAUGCGCGGAUUGAGGAGCCUGCGGCCCAUUAGCUAGUUGGUGAGGGUAAUGGCCCACCAAGGCAACGAUGGGUAGCUGGUCUGAGAGGACGACCAGCCACACUGGGACUGAGACACGGCCCAGACUCCUACGGGAGGCAGCAGUGAGGAAUUUUCCGCAAUGGGCGAAAGCCUGACGGAGCGACGCCGCGUGCACGAGGAAGGUCUUCGGAUCGUAAAGUGCUGUCGAGGGGGACGAUUAUGACGGUACCCCUGGAGGAAGCCCCGGCUAACUACGUGCCAGCAGCCGCGGUAAGACGUAGGGGGCGAGCGUUGUUCGGAAUUACUGGGCGUAAAGCGUGCGUAGGCGGAUUCGUAAGUCGAGGUUGAAAUAUCCGGGCUCAACUCGGGGCACGGCCUUGAUACUGCGAACCUUGAGGCGAGUAGAGGGUAAUGGAAUUCCCGGUGUAGCGGUGAAAUGCGUAGA